GAUGAAGAACGCAGUGAAAUGCGAUAAGUAAUGUGAAUUGCAGAAUUCAGUGAAUCAUCGAAUCUUUGAACGCACAUUGCGCCCAUUAGUAUUCUAGUGGGCAUGCCUGUUCGAGCGUCAUUAAGUCCACUUAAGCCCUGCUUAGUGUUGGGAGACUGCUCCAGCGGUGCUACCCUGUAGCUACCCUGCAGCUCCUCAAAGACAGCGGCGGAGUUGUGGUAUCCUCUGAGCUUAGUAACUUGUUCUAGCUUUCGAGUACACCACUUCCCCUGCCGUAAAACCCUUAAUUUUUAAUGGUUGACCUCGGAUCAGGUAGGAAUACCCGCUGAACUUAAGCAUAUCAAUAAGCGGAGGA
rnacentral:misc_RNA from 1 species